rnacentral:rRNA from 1 species
CAACGAAGAGUUUGAUCCUGGCUCAGGACUAACGCUGGCGGCGUGCCUAACACAUGCAAGUCUUACGAGAAAGCGGUAGCAAUAUCGUGAGUAAAGUGGCGAACGGGUGAG